rnacentral:rRNA from 1 species
GAUGAACGCUAGCGGCAGGCUUAACACAUGCAAGUCGAGGGGCAGCACGGGUAGCAAUACCUGGUGGCGACCGGCGCAAGGGUGCGUAACGCGUGAGCAACAUGCCCUAUACAGGGGGAUAAUCCAGGGAAACUUGGUCUAAUAUCCCAUAGUAUUUAGAGGAGGCAUCUUCUAUAAAUUAAAGCUUCGGUGGUAUAGGAUUGGCUCGCGUGACAUUAGCUAGAUGGUGAGGUAACGGCUCACCAUGGCAAUGAUGUCUAGGGGUUCUGAGAGGAAGGCCCCCCACACUGGGACUGAGACACGGCCCAGACUCCUACGGGAGGCAGCAGUGAGGAAUAUUGGACAAUGGAUGGAAAUCUGAUCCAGCCAUGCCGCGUGCAGGAAGACAGCCCUAUGGGUUGUAAACUGCUUUUAUAUGGGAGCAAUAAGGUCUAACGUGUAGACUGAUGAGAGUACCAUAUGAAUAAGCAAC